rnacentral:lncRNA from 1 species
AGACUGGGACAAUUCCUGUUUACGGAAGACUAUAAAACCCUGCCCCCUACUCAUUUGGUGCUGACGCCAUUUUAGGCCUUAGCCUGCCUGCACCCAGGCGCUCAUUAAAACAGCAGGUUGCUCCACACUGCCUCGUGUUGUCUGUUGGCACACUCUCAAGAGUUUGAACGGAUACAAGAAUCUUUCAUCUGGUGCCGAAACCCGGGAGGGGCUCCGGUCUUCGUCCCCCGUGGACCUACCCCUCCGCCCCAGAAAGCAGGCCACAGCAGCCGGACAAAGGAAGCUCCUCAGCCUCCAGUUGCUUCUCUGUGCAUGCACAUCAGUCACUGAUCUCACCUACUGGGGCCCUGCAGGCCAUGGGGCCACAGCUCCACACAGAAGCCUCCUAGCAAUCCACCUCCACCUGGUGCCUGCUUCAAGUGCGGCAAUGAAGGCCACUGGCCCACACAAUGCCCAAACCCAGGUAAACCCACGAGGCCAUGCCCCCUCUGCGGAGGACCCCACUGGAAGUUGGACUGUGAGCGGCCCCUGCAAGGACCACCCCCAUCCCUUCCUGAGCCAAUCAAACCCUCCUACUCGGAUCUCGUCAGCCUUGCCGCUGAAGACUGAUAGUGCCUUGGAACAGACACCCCAGCAACUACCAUCGCUUCAUCUGAGCCAAGGGUAACCCUGAUGGUGGCAGGCCCAGUCCCAAGGCGCAAGGCCACUUGUGCCAGCAGUGUGAGUCAGCAAGAUAGCAGAAGCAGGAAGAGAGCCGGCCAGAAGACACCUACUCUGACUGGGAGACACGUACCCCUGAAGAUUGAGAAAGAGGCCAUCCAGGUACCACAUAGCAGUUACAUCAGACUGGGACAUUUCCUGUUUACAGGAGACUAUAAAACCCCUGCCCCCUACUCAUUUGGUGCUGACGCCAUUUUAGGCCUCAGCCUGCCUGCACCCAGGUACUCAUUAAAACAGCGUGUUGCUCCA